AGGCUGUGAAGACGGAGGGGGCUGGCCAGGGACAGGAGGAAGCAGAUCUGGAUCCCCCAGGGCUGCUCCAGGGAGUGGAGUCCGCCAGUGCCUUGUUCCAGCCCCACACCAGACUUCAUUGUAAGAUAAGAAAUCUGUUGUUUUAAGCCCUUCCCCCCCAAAGAGAAAAGGGGUGUGACUAGAACCCGCCGGCCUCUUGGGGCCCCUCCUGCCUGGCCUGCCCCGCAGGGUCAGACACCACCCCCAGGGCCACCAUGCAUAGGUCCUCCAAGGGUUUAACGCCAGGCCUGGCCUUUCUCCCCUCAAAGCCAAGGACAAAGCUAGAGAAAAAGACAAGAGGCCAGGCCCAGGGACUUUCCUAGGAGUAAGGGAAUUCGGUCGCAGUGCUGGUGACACUGGAUUGGGCCUUUGGGAGCAGCGGGACCCUCCCCGGGGGAGGAGGCUGCAGGAGGUGGAGUGGCAGCUGCUGUCAGAGAGGCCCCUGUCCCAGCGCAGCGACGUGAUGUGACGCUGGCUGGUUCUGGUCAUUGCAUGUGUGCAUCAGAGAGGGGGCCCUGGAACACCGGGAGGGAUUCAGAAAGGCUGGGAAGAGAAGGAGUUGACCAGGACCCUCCAGAGAAAGGGAGGGUCUUCCGGGGAGCCUGGAGCCACUGAGGCCAAGUGAAGCCUAGGGAACCCAUCCUGAGCCUCAGGGGACCACAGCCUUGUCGAGAGGACUGGAAGCUGCAGAUGGCAACCCAGGCCUAUAAGGAAACAGAGGAUCAGAGAAGUUCUACCUCCUACCCAAGCGACCCGAAUCUAGACUCUAAUUCCCUGUGGACACAGCCUGCACAGAGGAGACAAGAAGGUACAGCCUGUCUCUGCCCCGGUCUCCUGUGUCUGCAGCAUGAACCUGCAGAGGGAGGUGACGGUCUCGGGUUUCUAUCAGCGCACACCUGCUCCUGUCUGCGGGGCCUGGCAAGUGUGGGCUCUCUUUCCAGCUUGGUUUCCCCACCUGUAAAGCAGGCUAAUCACCCCUACUUUGCAGGAGGGGAAAGGAAGUCAGCUGGGCAGGAGAAGGUGGGAGUGAGCGUGGGGAGCACCACCUCGCCAGGACCCCAAAUGCUGGGCGCAGGUCUGGUCAGAUUCCAAGGGCUGGGAGGCUGGGGCCUCAGUGUGUGUGUGGGGGGUUCCGAUGCCCUGACCAGGAGAAACCCAGGACCCCGACAGGCCCUCACCUGUUCCUACCUCACUGCUCAUGCACGGCACAGGGACAAAGGGGAGAGACCCUGCGGGUGCGCAGGGGAGCGGCAGGGUGGCCCGUGUGAAUGUAACCCACAAAUGACCUUAAUGAGCCUCUUCUUUGCUAAUUAG
rnacentral:lncRNA from 1 species